rnacentral:rRNA from 1 species
GAUGAACGCUGGCGGCGUGCCUAAUACAUGCAAGUCGAGCGAACAGAUGAGGAGCUUGCUCCUCUGACGUUAGCGGCGGACGGGUGAGUAAAACGUGGAUAACCUACCUAUAAGACUGGGAUAACUUCGGGAAACCGGAGCUAAAACCGGAUAAUAUAUUGAACCGCAUGGUUCAAUAGUGAAAGACGGUUUUGCUGUCACUUAUAGAUGGAUUCGCGCCGCAUUAGCUAGUUGGUAAGGUAACGGCUUACCAAGGGAACGAUGCGUAGCCGACCUGAGAGGGUGAUCGGCCACACUGGAACUGAGACACGGUCCAGACUCCUACGGGAGGCAGCGGGAGGGAAUCUUCCGCAAGGGGCGAAAGCCUGACGGAGCAACGCCGCGUGGUGGAUGAAGGUCUUCGGAUCGUAAAACUCUGUUAUUAGGGAAGAACAAAUGUGUAAGUAACUAGGCACGUCUUGACGGUACCUAAACAGAAAGCCACGGCUAACUACGUG